AGAAUCAACGCUGGCGGCGUGCCUAACACAUGCAAGUCGCACGAGAAAGGGUAGCAAUACCUGAGUAAAGUGGCGCACGGGUGAGUAACACGUGAAUUAUCUACCUCCGAGUGGGGAAUAACUGAGAGAAAUCUUAGCUAAUACCGCAUAACACUUACGAGUCAAAGCAGCAAUGCGCUUGGAGAGGAGUUCGCGGCAGAUUAGUUAGUUGGCGGGGUAAUGGCCCACCAAGACGAUGAUCUGUAUCCGGCCUGAGAGGGCGCACGGACACACUGGAACUGAAACACGGUCCAGACUCCUACGGAGGCAGCAGUGGGGAAUUUUGCGCAAUGGGGGAAACCCUGACGCAGCAACGCCGCGUGGAGGAUGAAAUAUCUUGGUAUGUAAACUCCUUUCGAUGGGGAAGAUUAUGACGGUACCCAUAGAAGAAGCCCGGCUAACUUCGCGCCAGCAGCCGCGGUAA
rnacentral:rRNA from 1 species